GCCUCAACAAAGUGCAAAAUCAAAAAUUGUCAGUAAUUUAAUUGAAAAUUAUGUGGAGCAGAUCAAAUUUAUUACUGACAUAUUCAGUGAAGAUGAAGAUUUGGUAGAGGAUACCAUUGACUGCGUGUAGACCCUCAUAUCAAGUGACGAAGUUUUUAAAAAAUGUAGUGGCAAGCAAUUCCCGAUUGAUAUACAGCUAGCUGUCGUUCUAUAUAGAAUGGAUACUAGUAUGCUGCAUUCUUCACAAUAUAAGACACAAAUUAAAAAGACAAUCGUUAUAUCAUUUUCUGUUUCCAAAUACUGUUUAAUUAAAUUAAAAAUUACAAUUAUAUCAAAAAUUAA